CAGCAGCCGCGGUAACACCGAGGGUGCGAGCGUUAAUCGGAUUUACUGGGCGUAAAGCGUGCGUAGGCGGCUUUUUAAGUCGGAUGUGAAAUCCCUGAGCUUAACUUAGGAAUUGCAUUCGAUACUGGGAAGCUAGAGUAUGGGAGAGGAUGGUAGAAUUCCAGGUGUAGCGGUGAAAUGCGUAGAGAUCUGGAGGAAUACCGAUGGCGAAGGCAGCCAUCUGGCCUAAUACUGACGCUGAGGUACGAAAGCAUGGGGAGCAAACAGGAUUAGAUACCACCGUAGUCCCUGUCUCUUAUAA
rnacentral:rRNA from 1 species